rnacentral:rRNA from 1 species
GACGAACGCUGGCGGCGUGCUUAACACAUGCAAGUCGAACGGAAAGGCCCUGCUUUUGUGGGGUGCUCGAGUGGCGAACGGGUGAGUAACACGUGAGUAACCUGCCCUUGACUUUGGGAUAACUUCAGGAAACUGGGGCUAAUACCGGAUAGGAGCUCCUGCUGCAUGGUGGGGGUUGGAAAGUUUCGGCGGUUGGGGAUGGACUGGCGGCUUAUCAGCUUGUUGGUGGGGUAGUUGCUUACCAAGGCUUUGACGGGUAGCCGGCCUGAGAGGGUGACCGGCCACAUUAGGACUGAGAUACGGCCCAGACUGCUACGGGAGGCAGCAGUGGGGAGUAUUGCAGAGUGGGGGGGAGCGUGAUACAGCAGCGCUCGGUGCGGGAUGACGUGUUUCGGGUUGUGAACCGAUUUCGAAGGUGCCGUAGCGUGAGUGACGGUAAUGAGUAAAAAAGCACCGGCUAACUACGUG